rnacentral:rRNA from 1 species
GAGUUUGAUCGUGGCUCAGGACGAACGCUGGCGGCGCGCCUAAUACAUGCAAGUCGAGCGAGAACCAGGGCUUAGGCCCUGGGAGAGCGGCGAACGGGUGCGUAUCACGUGAGCAACCUGCCUCGGAGACCGGAAUAACUCGAGGAAACUCGGGCUAAUGCCGGAUGCCCUCGGUGGACCGCAUGGUCCGGCGAGGAAAUGGAUUCCGCUCCGAGAUGGGCUCGCGGCCUAUCAGCUUGUUGGUGGGGUAACGGCCUACCAAGGCAACGACGGGUAGCUGGUCUGAGAGGACGAUCAGCCACACUGGGACUGAGACACGGCCCAGACUCCUACGGGAGGCAGCAGUAGGGAAUCUUGCGCAAUGGGGGAAACCCUGACGCAGCGACGCCGCGUGCGGGAUGAAGGCCUCGGUCGUAACCGACGUUUCA